CACGUAGGGCGCAAGCGUUGUCCGGAAUUAUUGGGCGUAAAGAGCUCGUAGGCGGUCUGUUGCGUCCGCUGUGAAAACCCGGGGCUUAACCCCUGGCUUGCAGUGGAUACGGACAGACUAGAGGUAGGUAGGGGAGAAUGGAAUUCCCGGUGUAGCGGUGAAAUGCGCAGAUAUCGGGAGGAACACCGGUGGCGAAGGCGGUUCUCUGGGCCUUACCUGACGCUGAGGAGCGAAAGCGUGGGGAGCGAACAGGG
rnacentral:rRNA from 1 species